rnacentral:rRNA from 1 species
GACAGAGGGUGCAAACGUUGCUCGGAAUUACUGGGCGUAAAGCGCGUGUAGGCGGACCGGAAAGUCGGGCGUGAAAUCCCUGGGCUCAACCCAGGAACUGCACUCGAAACUUCCGGCCUUGAGUGGUGGAGAGGGUAGUGGAAUUCCUGGUGUAGAGGUGAAGUUCGUAGAUAUCAGGAGGAACACCGGUGGCGAAGGCGGCUACCUGGACACCAACUGACGCUGAGACGCGAAAGCGUGGGGAGCAAACAGG